rnacentral:lncRNA from 1 species
UGCCGACGCCCCCGCCGGUUGAUUUAUAGAGACAGCUUGAAACAAAGAGUUUGCAGGAAUGCCAGAAGAAUGACGGUUGCUUUGAUGCUCAAAAACCGUUGAACAAAGCAAGCUCUGGUGGAGUACAUUACGGCCUAUGAUAUUGCUCAUAUUCCUCUACAAUAAGUACACUUCUUAGCUGCGGAAAAUAAAUAAAUAAAUGAAUACAAUCGAAGGAUCAUACAACAGUGUCAAAUAAAUUACAAAGAGCAAUAAAAGCAAACAAAGCAAAGUUGAAGGAAAAUUUUGUUUAUUCGAAUAUUGAGGAAAUCAGUUCACUAAAGUCAAUUACUUAAUAAACAUAAAUAAAUACAUUUCUAGUUUUUCAAACACAAAAAAUUUCCUCGGCAGCCAAACAGAGAAGCUUAAUAAUAAAUUGAAUCGUGGAACCUCGUAACUUACCUCAGAGUAAUUGGAGCAUGAAACGAUAAGUGGAUGGUGAAUAUACGAAGAGAUACUGCUUGGUAGAGAUAUUGAUGAAGCUGAGAAUGUGACUAUGGCUAUUCGCUAUUAUU